rnacentral:rRNA from 1 species
GACGAACGCUGGCGGCGUGCUUAACACAUGCAAGUCGAACGGAAAGGCCCUGCUUUUGUGGGGUGCUCGAGUGGCGAACGGGUGAGUAACACGUGAGUAACCUGCCCUUGACUUUGGGAUAACUUCAGGAAACUGGGGCUAAUCCCGGAUAGGAGCUCCUGCUGCAUGGUGGGGGUUGGAAAGUUUCGGCGGUUGGGGUUGGACUCGCGGCUUAUCAGCUAGUUGGUGGGGUAGUGGCUUACCAAGGCUUUGACGGGUAGCCGGCCUGAGAGGGUGACCGGCCACAUUGGGACUGAGAUACGGCCCAGACUCCUACGGGAGGCAGCAGUGGGGAAUAUUGCACAAUGGGCGGAAGCCUGAUGCAGCAACGCCGCGUGCGGGAUGACGGCCUUCGGGUUGUAAACCGCUUUCGCCUGUGACGAAGCGUGAGUGACGGUAAUGGGUAAAGAAGCACCGGCUAACUACGUG